rnacentral:rRNA from 1 species
ACGCUCGACACCUACGGGAGGCAGCAGUGAGGGAUAUUGCACAAUGGGGGGAACCCUGAUGCAGCGACGCCGCGUGAGGGAAGAAGGUUUUCGGAUUGUAAACCUCUGUCCUCAGUGAAGAAGAUGACGGUAACUGAGGAGGAAGCCACGGCUAACUACGUGCUAGCAGCCGCGGUAAUCUGAGGCGGGCUGGCAAGGC